GACGAACGCUGGCGGCGUGCUUAACACAUGCAAGUCGAACGGUGAAGCGCCUUCCUUUUUGGUGGGUGUGGAUGAGUGGCGAACGGGUGAGUAACACGUGAGUAACCUGCCCCCUUCUUCUGGAUAACCGCGUGAAAGUGUGGCUAAUACGGGAUAUUCUGGGUCUGUCGCAUGAUGGGUCUGGGAAAGAUAUUGUUUCGGUGGGGGAUGGGCUCGCGGCCUAUCAGCUUGUUGGUGGGGUGAUGGCCUACCAAGGCGGUGACGGGUAGCCGGCCUGAGAGGGUGGACGGGCACACUGGGAAUGAGACACGGCCCAGACUCGUACGGGAGGCAGCAGUGGGGAAUAUUGCACAAUGGGCGCAAGCCUGAUGCAGCGACGCCGCGUGAGGGAUGGAGGCCUUCGGGUUGUGAACCUCUUUCGCCAGUGAAGCAGGCCUGCCUCGUUUGUGGGUGGGUUGACGGUAGCUGGAUAAGAAGCGCCGGCUAACUACGUG
rnacentral:rRNA from 1 species